GUUCAGGUAGCUCAGCUGGUUAGAGCAAAGGACUGAAAAUUCUUGUGUCAGUGGUUCGAAUCCACUUCUAAGCG
rfam:Genlisea aurea contig_25, whole genome shotgun sequence.